rnacentral:pre_miRNA from 1 species
AGCUUUUUGAAUCCGUGCAGAGAUUUCUUCAGACACCAACUUAUCAAGGCUGAUCAGACUUUCAGGACAAAUAAAGUU